CGGCGUGCCUCGCGCGGCGCCCAAACAAAUAUGGCAGCGGCGGCGGCGGUGGGGCGGCGGCCAGGGGCUUGGGGGAGGAUCUGAGCGUGUGUUCAGGCGAGGAAAGUAAGCAAAGACUGUUUUGUCUUCACAAUGUUUGGGGACUUAUUUGAAGAGGAUUUUUCCUUUAUUUCAAACAAUCAUUGUGGAAAAGGGAAGAAAUCAAAGCCCAGAGAUUCUGAGCCUCCAGCUCCCAGAGACUUCACCAACCUAAGCGGUAUCAAAAAUCAAGGUGGGACCUGCUACCUCAAUUCCCUUCUGCAGACGCUGCUUUUCACACCCGAAUUUAGAGAGGCACUGUUCUCGCUAGGACCUGAAGAGCUUGGAACUCUGGAUGAUAUCAAUAAACCAGAUGCAAAGGUUCGAAUAAUUCCACUGCAACUUCAACGGUUAUUUGCUCAGCUUCUGCUCUUAGACCAGCAGGCUGCGUCUACGACAGACCUUACUGAGAGCUUUGGGUGGAACAGCAAUGAGGAAAUGAGGCAGCACGAUGUGCAGGAAUUAAAUCGGAUUCUGUUUAGUGCUUUGGAGACUUCCCUUGUGGGGACUUCGGGUCAUGACCUUAUUAAUCGAUUGUACCAUGGAACUGUUGUCAACCAGAUUGUUUGUAAAGAAUGCAAGAAUAUCAGUGAGAGACAGGAAGAUUUCUUAGACCUAACAGUGGCAGUAAAAGGUGUAGCUGGCUUGGAGGAGGCCCUGUGGAACAUGUAUGUGGAAGAAGAAUGCUUUGAAAAUGAGAACUUGUAUCGAUGCGGAGCCUGUGAUAAACUUGUUGAAGCUUCAAAGUCUGCUAAACUACGUAAGUUGCCUCCCUUUCUCACCAUUUCUCUCCUGAGAUUUAACUUUGACUUUGAGAAGUGUGAACGAUACAAGGAAACUAGUUGCUAUACGUUCCCUAUCCAGAUAAACCUGAGGCCUUUUUGUGAGCAGACUGAAAUGGAUGAUUCAGAGUACAUGUAUGAGCUCUUCUCUGUUAUUAUACAUAAAGGUGGCUGCUAUGGAGGACACUAUCAUGUUUAUAUCAAAGAUGUGGAUGAAUUAGGAAACUGGCAAUUACAAGAAGAUGAGGAUAGGCUAAUUGAACAUAAGGCUUUGAGAGAGAAUGAAAAUGCCAAAGAAACAGAAAAUCCACUGGCGGUGUUGAAAGGGAUUUUAUCAGAGGAAGAAUCUAAACAAAUUCCUGUGGAUCAAUUAGGGCAGAAGCUAUUGGAGAAAAAAAAGGUGUCCUGGAAUAAGAAAUACAGAAAACAAUAUGGAGCAUUACGAAAGUAUUUGCAAAAUCAUCCUCAGAUAUUUCAGUUCAGUCCUGACAAAAAUAAGGUUGGUCUAAAGGAAAAAUACAAGCUUCCAUUUCAGUCAGAUUCUCAAGGACUUGAUCUCCAAAGCCCUUCUCAGAAAAAUGAUAUCCAGUGGAAUUUAGAAAAAAUGUCUACAAGACUAAGGGACAUUUCUGUUGGUUGCCAUUGGUUUGAUCUGAAUGAUUCGAAAGUCCAACCGAUAAAGGAGGAGGAUAUUGAGCAACAAUUUCAGGGUAAAGAGAGUGCCUACAUGCUGUUUUAUCGAAAGUUGCAGUUGAAGAGACCUCCUGAAGCUCGAGGAAAUCCAAGGUACCAAAUUCCUGAACAUCUUCUGAAUGAAAUGAAUGCUGCUAAUACUGAGCUGCAAAAAAUGAGAGCGGAACGUGACUCAGCAAACAAUGGUAUUGAUUUACAUCUCCAUUUGAGCUCGUGUUACAAAUUUGAUAAUGGAGCUUUGCAUCCUUCACUUACUUGGAAAGAGAGUGUUCUGGAUCUGACUAUUGACAGAAGAAAAACUCUAGGAGAUCUUCGACAGUCAAUAUUCCAGAUAUUGGAAUCUUGGGAAGGAGACAUGAUUCUCAGUAAUGCCAAACCUUUACCAGCAGGACUGCAUCUUUACGAGAUUCUUGAUGGAGAUGAGCUGACACUGGACUGCUUUGGGCUGGCUGAUGGAGCAGAUGUUUUUGUGUGGAACGGGAAAGAGGUUGGUGGCACAAAGGUGAUGACAGGCCCUGAUCAUGAACCUGUGAUCAUAAACGUUCUUCGUUUGGCAGAGUAUAAUGAAGGAGGGAAGGGUCAACACUUCACAGAAUCGCAGCACAUCUUUCCAUGCAGCACAAAACUGGAGGAUCUGCACAGGGCCUUAGCACCAUCAGGAGGAAUCAUUUUAAAGAAUGGCUCAGGACCUGAUAGAGAAGGCAAGAACUGGGAAGUUCUUGAAGAACAUAUGAAGGAAACGAUCAGAAGUGUUGGUCUGACAGAUGGAUGUUCGGUACUAAUCUUAGACAGCCAUGACCAGAGCUUUGUGAAUGUUUCAAGUGGCAAUUUGACUGCUUUUACGUACGACAUCAGCUGGCUCCAAGUUAAAAACUUCUGCGGAAUGGAAGAUGAAGAGAAACACGUUAAAAUUACUGCCACUAUUGAAACAGUGAUGUCAGAUAUCAAAAUGAAAGCAAUACAGGAGUUUCAACUAGAUGAAGAGCUAGCAAGUGACAGUUGUCUUAGACCUGUUAGUGGAAAUGGGAAACUUCUCUCUCCAGUGCCUGAGGAUUAUACUGUCAAGGAAGCAGAACUGAAAAUGGGAAGCUUGCUCGGGCUGUGUCGUGGAAAAGCUCUAACUUCCACACAGCUGCUCUUAUAUUUUAUUAUUGGGCAUGACCAACAUAUGGGCCCUGAGAUGGAGAUAGUUGUGGAAGAGACUGCCUCUGUGAAAGAAUGUCUAAAUUUAAUGCUGGAAAAAUCUGGAUUAUCAGGUGACAGCUGGCAUUUGAGAAGGAUUGACUGGUGCUAUGAAGCAGGGGAAGCAUUAAGUCAGGAAAAUGCCACUCUGAAGGAACUUAAUGUUUGUAGAGGAGAUACUUUGGUUAUAACUGAAGGAAAGCUUCCACCAAAGGGCUUUCUGAAAAUUCCCAUCUGGUGGUUCAAGCCUUCAAGCCAUAUGAAACAUAGAGAAAAUGGACAAGACCAAGUGAAUGGGUUGACCUGCAGGAUGGACGAUUUGCAGGUGUCUCCUGCAGGAGGUGACUCACCAGAAUGCAUCCAAACAGACACGGAUUUGUGUUACGCUGGGAGUAUAGAAAUAGCAGGCGAAGCCACUUUGGAAGAUCUGAAGAUGCAGGCUAUGACUUUACCAUGCCGUCAGGAGCACGUUGUCCCACUGCCCACAUUUCUCAGAGCCUGGACAGUGGAAAGUAAGCACCCAGGCAAGCUUUUACGACACAACAAGCAGCAACUCAAUGAAUAUAAGCUGGGUGCCAGAGUGGCAAUCUGCAUAGAACCUCUGCAAAAAGAAGAAAACUUGGGCCCACAUGAAUUGCUGCUUCGAGUACAGAUGGGCAUACCAGGGGAGAGGGACUACUAUGACUCCAUGGAUUUGGUGUGGGAUAUCUCCAAAGAAUGCACUACCUGGUCACUGAGGCAAAGAGUGGCUUCUCACUAUUGUCUCCCUGUAGAUAAAAUUGAAAUAGCCAAAUACUUCCCUGAAAAAUUUGAGUGGCUGCCAAUAUCUAGCUGGACUCAGCAAAUUUCAAAGAGAAAACGGAAGAAAAAACAGGAGAGUUUACAGUCAGCGCCUUAUCACCUGAAAGAUGGAGAUAUCAUUGGGGUGAAGAAUCUUCUCCUUGAUGACAGUAAGGACUUCAGCACAGUGAGAGAUGAUCUUGGAAAGGAGAAACAAAGACAGCUUGCAUUAGAAAAAAAGAAAAGUCGGCAAGCUGAACGCUUACAGGACCAUGUUUUGUCUGAGGAAAAACUGAGUAUUAAGCAACGUAAACCAGAAGUGGCUCUUUCUAUCAACGUGGGAGUUUUCAGAUAGCACAGGAGAUGCUUUGCUGAUGAGAACCUACUACCGAUGUACUGAAUUGGAGUACCUCAACUGGACCAGCAAGAGGGAUGCUUGUUCUCGAAGCAUCUUCAAGAAUCACCGAGACAAACUGGAUAUAGGAUUCAGGAUAACUGAUUUUCUUCUAAUCUCUCUUGGAAGUGCUUUUGCAUCCCUUUGUCAAUGUGGUACUUAUUCUCAGGCUAGGUAAAUGCACUUUAUUCGUGAGAAAAAUGAAUAAUAUAUUGUAUUACCCUUUUUGACUUUUUAUAAUCACCCUAAAUGCUGUUUUUGUCAGAUGCUGAUGUCUUGCACCAUCACUACGACGUUUGCUUCCUUUUUUAAUGCAGUCAUAAACAUAUCUUUUUAGAAGUUAUUUUUCCAUCUCUGAUCACUAAAGUUACUAGCAAUACCAGAGUUUACUUCUGUCUGUUUAUAUAUAAACCUAAAUCUGUAGUAACUCGAGUCCGAUUUCAGGAAUGAAGGAAAUGUGGAAGUCUCUGGACAAAGGGUAGUAAACUGACUAAGAAAGGAUUAAGUUCAGAAUUUGUCAAGCUCUUAAACCUGAAGACCCUUUCUGAUACAAAACAGUAGUGCAGUAGCCCUACAUUUUAAAGUUGCUGGUGUUUUUUUUAUUGUUCACAAGCUUCGUUAAAAAAUGGAAAAAUUGGGCAGGCCUGUUGUUUGGUCUUGUAUGAGUUUUAGUGUACUCAGGAAAAAGGCUAACAUUUAUUACACUUGAGGAAAAAGAAAAUGUUUCGCUUGAGUCAGAUGGUUGAUUUACAGCCUCCACAACAGAAGGGCAUGUAGGCAGCCCACUAACAGCUGAACUCAGUAUCAAAGGUUCUUAAAUGUUAAGUGGAAUGUUUGCCAAAUGCUUGUAAGAUUGGAUCUCAAGAUUGAGAGUGCCUGUAAUUACCUAAUGAGACCAUAUUUUCUUAGACCUGAAGCUGGGAAUCAGGGUUUACUAAAAGUUGAUGUUUUAGCAUCUUCGGAUAAACUUUUCUAAUGCUUAUAAUACUUAAACUGUGUUCCCCCACUGCACAUGCCUAUUCAUUACCUAAUUUCCCAUCAGGUUCAAAAUUUUCUUUGGCUUAAAUUGUCACUAAUAGUUGUACUCAAACUCUUAAUAGAAUUAACUGUUUAUAAUCAAAUUCUAAGCAUACUAUGAAUGAUAAGGUGAACAUGGAAUAGUGGAAGAUAACACAAGCAUUUCCAUGCAGCAGUAAAAUGCUGAUGGCAUGUAAUGUGUUUGCAUUUUGCUGCUGGGAACCUGUGCAAAUUGGUUAUUGUAUCAAAUGGAGUCUGCUAUUAAACACACUACACAGCCUUGUUGAACUGCACAAAUGUUUGGAUGAGCAAAGCAACUUUUAAAAACAACUGUUCAACAUAGCCUGAAGUAUCCUGAGUGAACAAAAUACAAGUAAUUUUCGGAUGCUACCGUAUUUAAUCCGUUUCGUAUGGAGAUGUAUAGAGAAGAUUUUGUAGAAGAUGCAAGUAUAGCAGACUACCAAAAUUUUGACUAAUGUGAGAACAUUCACUGACUUACCUUUUGUAGAUUAGUAAUAUUCUGGUAUUUUUGACAAUUUCAAGACAAACUGACACUGAACAAAACAAAAGGGAAGAAAAGUAAAACGUACCUCAUUCUGAAGCAUAUGAUUAGUCUUUAAUUCUUUUGAUAGGUUUAAAAUUCAGCAGUUUCUGUGCUUUAUGAUGUUUCAGUCAAGGGGGUAUUUUAAUUUCCUAACUAUUUUGGUCAUAGGUAGGCUUGAAUCUUGAACUCUUGGAAUCCUAGUUUUAUAGAUUAUUUCGUUGCCCUCAACUCAGUCAGAAAAAAUUUCUUUCUAACUCAGCUUGCUGUAUCCAACUUAUUUUGUGAAGCCUUCUUCCCUGUCAGCAAGUCGUCUUGUGAGCCAAGGUUUACCAAAACUAUGGCACAUGCUGAUUAGUAAGGUAAAGGAGAAAGCCUUUUUUUACUUGCAAGUCGUUCCAUUGCGUUACACUUACUGUGCUGUCACUUUAUUUCCUACAGUUCCAUGCUGGACAGCUGUAUUGGGCUUAACCUUGCCAACUACUUCUUAAUAACUCUAGUCUCUUCCUGAAAAUAAAGUAUGUUUCAGAGCUUACACUAACUAGGAGUUGGAACAACGUGUGUGCACAGAUGUAUUAAUCUGAUCUAUUUUUAAAGAGAAGUAGCAUAAAUCAUCCAGAGGACAGUGGAUCUGCACAGAAACUCACUCCACUCCAGUGUGCUGAAGUGAUCACAGAACAGGAGGAAGUGGACAGUUUAAAAAGCCAUCUCAUUCUCUCUUUAAUUCUCCCUCAGAAGCUGCUGAACAGAGCCAUGGAGUUGUUAAAGGUAUUACAGGUACAAGGAAGACAAAGGGUAGCACGGGGGUGUGUAGCUGGGACAGGUGAGUGAUGGCCAAGGGAGGCUGUAGUUGGAGGAAGCUGCUCAAUUCUGGGACUUGCUGGCUGGUUUUGCUGUUUGCCCAGCAAAGCAAACAAACUAAUAAAAAAAAAUCCCAGCAAGGGGUUCUGGGAGUGCCCUCUAGUGUGGUUAGUUGGAGUUUGGGGAUUUUACCAGCACUUCUUUUUAAUUACAGGCAAAUUCCAUCUUCAGCCCUUGCCAUAUCCAAGGCCUCUCUACAAGAUGAGUAAUAGUAUCAAGCUGAGUUUGCAAGCAAGCUUAGAGAAACCAAAACGAGGGAGCUCCCAGCCCUGGAGCCAGUAUCUAGAAAGCUAACAACUAAAUUAUUUUUUGACUGACUGACGCUUGGUAGCACAGCACUGUAUGCAGACAUGCAGAAGACACAGUAAUCACAAAGAUCCCUGGGAAGAUGUGGUACAGCCAGGGAGAAACACUUCAAAACCAACCAAACAAAAAAAAAGCCCACCACCACCAAUGAACACCUGGCUGUUGGCCAUCACACCUGCUUCAUGAGUGGACCGGAUCGAAACAACUUCAGUGGUUCAGAUUAUGAAGCAGAACAGCAGUGCACUGAAGUCUGCAAAUGCCUUUAACCAAAGCAGGAGCUGUGCUGGUGUUGUGCAAACCUUGUUGUACGUUCCCAGAGAAGCAGAAAACCAGAGUUUCAAAUACAGCUUCAAAGCUGUGCAAAAAAGUUUGGAGGACUUGGUUCUAGUAAAGUAAAAUGCAGAAGACAUUUAGUCCUUGGGACACUGAAAUGCUGGUGUAUGAAGACAUUUCCUUCUCAGUGACAGAACACAUCA